GAUGAACGCUGGCGGCGUGCCUAAUACAUGCAAGUCGAGCGAACAGACGAGGAGCUUGCUCCUUCGACGUUAGCGGCGGACGGGUGAGUAACACGUAGGUGACCUACCUAUAAGACUGGGAUAACUUCGGGAAACCGGAGCUAAUACCGGAUAAUAUUUCGAACCGCAUGGUUCGAUAGUGAAAGAUGGCUUUGCUAUCACUUAUAGAUGGACCUGCGCCGUAUUAGCUAGUUGGUAAGGUAACGGCUUACCAAGGCAACGAUACGUAGCCGACCUGAGAGGGUGAUCGGCCACACUGGAACUGAGACACGGUCCAGACUCCUACGGGAGGCAGCAGUAGGGAAUCUUCCGCAAUGGGCGAAAGCCUGACGGAGCAACGCCGCGUGAGUGACGAAGGUCUUCGGAUCGUAAAACUCUGUUAUUAGGGAAGAACAAACGUGUAAGUAACUGUGCACGUCUUGACGGUACCUAAUCAGAAAGCCACGGCUAACUACGUG
rnacentral:rRNA from 1 species